AGAAGUCGCUCGAGCGGGGAAGCGGCGGCCGUUAGGAAAAUGGCGCCGUGCGGCCCCGGGGCAGACCCCCGUCACUGGUCACCGCCGCCUUCCUGGCGCAGUUGCUGUGUCACGGCCACACCGGCCGGCUGUACAGCAGGCAGGAGCCGGUGACCAUUCUGGAGGCGGAUGGGGUUAAGGGCCUGUUUGGGAACUGGUCGGCCGCCUGGGUGGUGGAGUUCUACUGGUCGUGGGGCGGCCCCUGUGUCAACUAUGGGGCCACCUGGAAGGUACUGGGCCCGGGAGGUGAAAGACUUCCAAAGAGUACGAUCUCUGGGACCAAGAUAGGCUGACAGGUCUGAGUCCACAAGGGACUCCCGAGGCUGUCUCAUAUCUGUACUUCAUCAAUUUGGUGCUGCAAGCAGGUUUCCAACAAGAGCUACAUUUGAGUGAAACUAGAAAAGAGGAGUUCCAUCUAAGGGUUGGACUCAAGACCAAUGGGCCCACAAGGUAAUAAGGUGAAAGGGAAUAAUGGACAAAGCACUGAAAACAACGCUGACUCUAAUUCAGCAAAGUAUUUGAAGAUCUGAAGACUGAAGUUUAAAAAUCAACAGAUGAAGGGCCUAUGCCUGAAUUGUCGAUUC